GAUGAAGAACGCAGCGAAAUGCGAUAAGUAAUGUGAAUUGCAGAAUUCAGUGAAUCAUCGAAUCUUUGAACGCACAUUGCGCCCGCCAGCAUUCUGGCGGGCAUGCCUGUUCGAGCGUCAUUUCAACCCUCGCAGCCCAUCUGGGCAGCGGUGUUGGGGACCGGCACCACCGGCGAAGCCCUUAGGGGCCCAGCCGGCGCCGCCCCCGAAAUACAGUGGCGGUCUCGCUGCAGCCUCCCUUGCGUAGUAGCACACCUCGCACCGGAGCGCAGCGCGGCCACGCCGUAAAACCCCCGACUUUCUGAGUUUGACCUCGAAUCGGGUAGGAAUACCCGCUGAACUUAAGCAUAUCAAUAAGCGGAGGA
rnacentral:misc_RNA from 1 species